CCUCAUCAAACCCUGGUUUAUGUUGCUCUGGAGGCCAUCUCUCUCUUCGAGACAGUCUCUGGAGUCUCCCAAAAUAAACCUCUUAUGUGUGGCUUACAUCCUUCUGGAGUCACUGAGGGUGGCAGUGUGGGGAAAAGCAGCAUCUGGUUUUAACCUUCACAGUUUCCUCCCAAGAGGGAAACAGGACCUGUUUUAUGGAAGAAGACCAUAGAGUUAAAGCGCUGUUUUCAUCACAUCAUAUGAAAGG